rnacentral:rRNA from 1 species
GGGACCCGCACAAGUAGUGGAGCAUGUGGUUUAAUUUGAAGAUACGCGCAGAACCUUACCAACACUUGACAUGUUCGUCGCGACUUUAAGAGAUUAAAGUUUUCGGUUCGGCCGGACGAAACACAGGUGCUGCAUGGCUGUCGUCAGCUCGUGUCGUGAGAUGUUGGGUUAAGUCCCGCAACGAGCGCAACCCUCACUUUUAGUUGCCAUCAUUUAGUUGGGCACUCUGAAAGAACUGCCAGUGAUAAGCUGGAGGAAGGUGGGGAUGACGUCAAGUCCUCAUGGCCCUUACGUGUUGGGCUACACACGUGCUACAAUGGUAUCUACAACAGGAAGCAAAACAGCGAUGUUAAGCAAAUCCUUAAAAGAUACCUCAGUUCGGAUUGCACUCUGCAACUCGAGUGCAUGAAGCUGGAAUUACUAGUAAUCGUGGAUCAGCGUGCCACGGUGAAUGCGUUCCCGGGUCUUGUACACACCGCCCGUCACACCAUGGGAGUUGGUUCUACCUUAAGGCAAGGUUUUAAACCCUUGACCACGGUAUAGUCAGCGACUGGGGUG